CACACGGGUACUGAGACACGGACCCGACUCCUACGGGAGGCAGCAGUAAGGAAUAUUGGUCAAUGGGGGCAACCCUGAACCAGCCAUGCCGCGUGCAGGAUGACUGCCCUAUGGGUUGUAAACUGCUUUUAUACAGGAAGAACGGCGUUGAUUUAUCAGCGUGUGACGGUACUGUACGAAUAAGGACCGGCUAACUCCGUGCCAGCAGCCGCGGUAAUACGGAGGGUCCGAGCGUUAUCCGGAAUCACUGGGUUUAAAGGGUGCGUAGGCGGCGUACUAAGUCAGGGGUGAAAUGCCGGGGCUCAACCCCGGAACUGCCCUUGAAACUGGAACGCUUGAAACAGGUUGAGGUAGGCGGAAUGUGACAUGUAGCGGUGAAAUGCUUAGAUAUGUCAUGGAACACCGAUUGCGUAGGCAGCCUACUGGGCCUUGUUUGACGCUGAGGCACGAAAGCGUGGGGAGCGAACAGGAUUAGAUACCCUGGUAGUCCACGCCCUAAACGAUGCUGACUCGGUGUCUGGACCUUGAGUCUGGGCGCCCAAGGGAAACCGAUAAGUCAGCCACCUGGGGAGUACGUUCGCAAGAAUGAAACUCAAAUGAAUUGACGGGG
rnacentral:rRNA from 1 species